GCAGCAUGUCCGCAGCUGAUGGCUGACGCCCGUGGCUACCGACACGAGACCGGCUACCGACUGCGUGACAGUAUGAAAGGUCGACCUUGGCCCACGACUGUAAAUGGAAAACCAAAAGUGGCGGUGGCGGUAUUCUCUGUCAGAGAAACAGCAAAAGUACUAUGGCACAACGAAACAUUGCACAACUGAAGCAUCGCCUGUGCCUCAUGCUGCUGUUUCAUCAAAGAUCAAGGUCAUCGCCCUUGGAGGGUCUUUAUGCAUGGCAGCAUGGUUCGAGUUCCACACGGAGAAUCCUGAAGCUAAUUCUUCCAAGGCAGAGCGGGGCAUGCUGAAAGUUAUCAGAAGGCCGAAAGAAUAAAUCGGUGGUUCAUCUGCAUGUACAACCAUCGUCAAGUGUUAUCAUGUACUGUUUUUUGCAGCUGCAUAAUAUUAAACAGUCCGAGUCUGCCCCAG
rnacentral:lncRNA from 1 species